rnacentral:ncRNA from 2 species
GUGGGCCCCGGCGAUGGAUCCCGCCAGGACGCGCAGCGUCCGAACUGCCGCCCCGGCUGAUGGCUCCUGCUCCGUC